AUGUUGAAUAUGAUUUCUUUUUUCUUAAAAAAAUGUUUUGUGUUUCACAGAAAACUAACAGCAUGGGUGGAUGAGUUGUUGCGCAGAGAAGAAAGACAUGGAGAAGAAACCACAACCAAACUUCAUCAGUUCUCGCAUAUAUCGCCAACAUGCCAGCUCAAGACAGCAAAACACAAACCGAAGACGAGCUUCAAAAUGGAGGGACUGAAAAGAGGAAAGGAUGAGUGCAGAGAAAACAAAGAAACGGAGGAAGAAGGGAAGAAAAAGGCAGAGAGAAGAAGGUGUGGAGCAGAAGUGUGGAAGUGUGUUGCUGGGCAAAGGGCUGGCGCUGAACGCGGGGUUGGCAGGCGGGGUGGAGAAGCGGGCACGCUCACAGACAUCUGUUGGCACGCUGCGGAUGCUGGAGGGGGCACGGUGCCAUGACCAGCGGGAACAUGGCACACUGAUAAUGCUGUAGCUAUACUCAGAUACACACUGCGUCUCUAUAGAACGCCACACACACCAGCACUAAUGAUAAAAUAAUCUCACACUAUCGACACGAGCGACGCAGGACACACAGGUUGUGGAUCAAAAUAUCGUAAUUGGCAGCUUGCAGUUUUUAGUUUGGGCAAAAUACUUUUUUAUGAGAAUCUAAGAAAAAUUAUCCUGCAGAAUAAAAAGUGAAUUUAAACUCA
ensembl:lncRNA